rnacentral:lncRNA from 1 species
CUUCCGUGUCUGGGAAAGUAGUACACAGACAGACAUCACCGAGAAUCCAUGCUGUUUGAGGUCAAGGGUAAUCCAAGAUGGACCAGAAAUUCAGGAUCUUCACGGUUAACGUGGUGGCAGUCAGAAAGAAAUGCAAUAGAACUAAUUUAAGUUCUAGAUCAUGAUAGCCUGUGAUAUGGUUAUGAUCUGCUAUUGUUCGUGAUUUCCUGUACCAUCAUAUGACACAAUGAAGAGAUGACCAUGUGCAAACCACAUAGAGUACCCUUACCAGACACUAGAGCUGGCAGAAAUUUGAUCUUGGACUUCCCAGUCUCC